rnacentral:rRNA from 1 species
UGGCGGCAGGCUUAACACAUGCAAGUCGAGCGGUAGCACAGGGGAGCUUGCUCCCUGGGUGACGAGCGGCGGACGGGUGAGUAAUGUCUGGGAAACUGCCUGAUGGAGGGGGAUAACUACUGGAAACGGUAGCUAAUACCGCAUAACGUCGCAAGACCAAAGAGGGGGACCUUCGGGCCUCUUGCCAUCAGAUGUGCCCAGAUGGGAUCCCUAGCUGGUCUGAGAGGAUGACCAGCCACACUGGAACUGAGACACGGUCCAGACUCCUACGGGAGGCAGCAGUGGGGAAUAUUGCACAAUGGGCGCAAGCCUGAUGCAGCCAUGCCGCGUGUGUGAAGAAGGCCUCUCGGGGUCCGUAAAGCACUUUCAGCGAGAGAGGAAGCUGGUGAGCUUAAUACGCUCAUUCAAUUGAACGUAACUCGCAGAAGAAGCACCGGCUAACUCCGGUGCCAGCAGCCGCGGUAAUACCGGAGGGGUGCAAGCGUUAAUCGGAAUUACUGGGCGUAAAGCGCACGCAGGCGGUUUGUUAAGUCAGAUGUGAAAUCCCCGGGGCUCAACCCUGGGAACUGCAUUUGAAACUGGCAAGCUAGAGUCUCGUAGAGGGGGGGUAGAAUUCCAGGU